CGUAACAAGGUAGCUGUAGGUGACCUUCGGCUGGAUCUUA
rnacentral:rRNA from 1 species